rnacentral:rRNA from 1 species
ACGAUCCUAGCUUGCUAGGAGGCGUCGAGCGGCGGACGGGUGAGUAAUGCAUAGGAAACUGCCCAGUAGUGGGGGAUAGCCCGGGGAAACCCGGAUUAAUACCGCGUACGCCCUCCGGGGGAAAGCAGGGGAUCUUUUGACCUUGCGCUAUUGGAUGUGCCUAUGCCGGAUUAGCUAGUUGGUGGGGUAAGAGCCUACCAAGGCGACGAUCCGUAGCUGGUCUGAGAGGAUGAUCAGCCACAUCGGGACUGAGACACGGCCCGAACUCCUACGGGAGGCAGCAGUGGGGAAUAUUGGACAAUGGGGGCAACCCUGAUCCAGCCAUGCCGCGUGUGUGAAGAAGGCUUUCGGUAUGUAAAGCACUUUCAGUGAGGAGGAAAAUUUGUCGGUUAAUACCCGGCAACCUUGACGUUACCCACAGAAGAAGCACCGGCUAACUCCGUGCCAGCAGCCGCGGUAAUACGGAGGGUGCAAGCGUUAAUCGGAAUUACUGGGCGUAAAGCGCGCGUAGGUGGUUUGAUAAGCGAGAUGUGAAAGCCCCGGGCUUAACCUGGGAACGGCAUUUCGAACUGUCAGGCUAGAGUAUGGUAGAGGAGUGUGGAAUUUCCUGUGUAGCGGUGAAAUGCGUAGAUAUAGGAAGGAACACCAGUGGCGAAGGCGGCACUCUGGACCAAUACUGACACUGGGGUGCGAAAGCGUGGGGAGCAAACAGGAUUAGAUACCCUGGUAGUCCACGCUGUAAACGAUGUCUACUAGCCGUUGGGACUCUUGAAGUCUUAGUGGCGCAGCUAACGCACUAAGUAGACCGCCUGGGGAGUACGGGCCGCAAGGUUAAAACUCAAAUGAAUUGACGGGGGCCCGCACAAGCGGUGGAGCAUGUGGUUUAAUUCGACGCAACGCGAAGAAUCUUACCUGGUCUUGACAUGCAGAGAACUUUCCAGAGAUGGAUUGCGCCUUCGGGACUCUG